UACGAAGGGGACUAGCGUUGUUCGGAAUCACUGGGCGUAAAGCGCACGUAGGCGGAUGUGUCAGUCAGGGGUGAAAUCCCGGGGCUCAACCUCGGAACUGCCUUUGAUACAGCACGUCUCGAGUCCGGAAGAGGUGGGUGGAAUUCCUAGUGUAGAGGUGAAAUUCGUAGAUAUUAGGAAGAACACCGGUGGCGAAGGCGGCCCACUGGUCCGGUACUGACGCUGAGGUGCGAAAGCGUGGGGAGCAAACAGGG
rnacentral:rRNA from 1 species